rnacentral:tRNA from 2 species
AAAUAAGAAGCGAAAAUUAUUGCAAUCAGUUUCGACCUGAAUUAGUUGAUGUUCAUUCAUCCUUAUUUA